UUGCGGUUAAAAAGCUCGUAGUUGGAUUUCUGUCGAGGUCAACCGGUGCACAUUUCAUGUCGCAUUUGGUUUGGUCUUGGCAUCCUCGUGGGGAACGUUUCUGGACUUUAUUGGACAGGGCGAGAUUCACGACUUUUACUUUGAGGAAAUUAGAGUGUUCACGGCAGGCAAGUGCUUUGAAUACAUUAGCAUGGAAUAAUAAUAUAGGACCUUCGUUCUAUUUUGUUGGUUUCUAGAACUUAGGUAAUGAUUAAUAGGGACAAUUGGGGGCAUUCGUAUUAACGCGUCAGAGGUGGAAUUCUUGGAUUGCGUUACGACGAACUACUGCGAAAGCAUUUGCCAAAGAUGUUUUCAUUGAUCAAGAACGAAAGUAUGGGGAUCGAAGACGCUUAGAUACCGUCGUAGUCUAUACCAUAAACUAUGCCAACUAGGGAUUGGAGGGGUUAUCCUAUGUGGCUCCUUCAGCACCUUAUGAGAAAUCAAAGUUUUUGGGUUCCGGGGGGAGUAUGGUCGCAAGGCUGAAACUUAAAGGAAUUGACGGAAGGGCACCACCAGGAGUGGAGCCUGUGGCUCAAUUUGACUCAACACGGGAAAACUUACCAGGUCCAGACAUAGUAAGGAU
rnacentral:rRNA from 1 species